rnacentral:rRNA from 1 species
GACAGUUCGGUCCCUAUCUGCCAUGGGCGUAGGAAAAUUGAGAGGGUUUGCUUCUAGUACGAGAGGACCGAAGUGAACGCACCGCUGGUGUUCGGGUUGUGAUGCCAAUUGCAUUGCCCGGUAGCUACGUGCGGAAUAGAUAAGUGCUGAAAGCAUCUAAGUACGAAACUAGCCUUGAGAUGAGUUUUCCCUGAAGAGAUUCAGUAAGGUCCGUUUGAGACUAAGACGUAGAUAGGUCAGGUGUGUAAGUGUAGUGAUACAUUGAGCUAACUGAUACUAAUGAACCGAGAGUCUUAACCUUACAACUC